rnacentral:rRNA from 1 species
AUGGAUCCUCAUCCUCUUGUUAAUCAUUUUAAUAGAUCCAAUUAUGAUGAACCAAUUGCUAGUGAGUUGAGUGCACUAGAUUAUCUUUAUGAGGUUUUGCUUGAAAUUGAUGAAUCCGAAAAUUGUGAUGAAGUGUUGAAAGAAGAAAUUUAUGAAGUGAUUCACGAUAGCUCCUUGAAUGAAAAGCAUGAUUGCAAUGAUAUUAUUAUAAAUUCUGUUAGUGUCAAUUGUGUUAAUGAUAUGCAAAACCCUAAUCUUGGGGAUGCUAAUUCUGCUAUGUCUACUACUGGUUGCAAUGAUCAUGAUUGGGGUGAUUUUUCUUAUGAUCUUGAAAAUUUAUUUAAGCCCCAUGAUGAAUAUGAGAUUGAUAAUAAUGUUUGCAAUAAUAUUGAAAGUGGGUUUGGGAGAGUGUCAACUUUAUAUCCCGCGUAUUUGGAUAAUGUUCAAUCUUAUGAUUUUUUUGAUAAAAGUGGGUUCAGAGAGGUCAUGACUUUAUUUUAUGAUAAUCCCACUAUUUCGGAAGAGUGUCAACUUUGCAUGCAUGUGGAUCAUGAAGAGAAAAUUUUAUGUGAUAGCUAUAUUGUUGAAUUUUAUUAUGAUCCUCCAUGUAAUUAUUAUGAGAGAGGAAAAUACGGUUGUAGAAAUUUACAUGUUACAAAAUUACCUCUCGUUAUGUUGAGAUUGAUAUUGUUUCCUUCUUCGUCCUUGCAUAUGGUAGUUUUUGCUUGUCUUGAUAAUUUGUUUCCUUAUAAAAUCCCUAUGCAUAGGAAGCAUGUUAGACUUAAACUUGUUUGGCACGUGUUUUGUGAUGAUCUCUUUGUGCUUCAAUUCUUGUCUUUCAUGUGA